AUUGAACGCUGGCGGCAUGCUUUACACAUGCAAGUCGAACGGUAACAGGCCGCAAGGUGCUGACGAGUGGCGAACGGGUGAGUAAUGCAUCGGAACGUGCCCAGGCGUGGGGGAUAACGCAGCGAAAGCUGCGCUAAUACCGCAUACGAUCUAUGGAUGAAAGCGGGGGAUCGGAAGGCCUCGCGCGAUUGGAGCGGCCGAUGUCAGAUGAGGUAGUUGGUGGGGUAAAGGCUCACCAAGCCAACGAUCUGUAGCUGGUCUGAGAGGACGACCAGCCACACUGGGACUGAGACACGGCCCAGACUCCUACGGGAGGCAGCAGUGGGGAAUUUUGGACAAUGGGCGCAAGCCUGAUCCAGCAAUGCCGCGUGCAGGAAGAAGGCCUUCGGGUUGUAAACUGCUUUUGUACGGAACGAAACGGCUCUGGUUAAUACCUGGGGCUAAUGACGGUACCGUAAGAAUAAGCACCGGCUAACUACGUGCCAGCCGCCGCGGUAACAC
rnacentral:rRNA from 1 species